AGCGUUAUUUAAUGUUGUCUGCUCACUCAAUCAUGGCGUUAUUGUUACUUUUUCAGGCGAAAAAGUUGAACAAAGCAAAUUAUGUCAAGGAAGCAAGCGCAAAGUUUUAUCAAUUCCUCUGGAACCUUCUUAAUUUAGAGUUUCUCUUAUUUCCUUUCAUGUAACGAAAUAGUUGCCAGUUAAUUAUGCGUUUUCCCCUAUAGACUAGGGUGGGGUAAGGAAUUAAUUGAGUUGUGUGCAAUAUUUUUAAGAUAUUAUCAUUUUGUUUCUUUUAAUUUUGAAUAAAGGCAUUCAAGACAAAUGUUAUAAUUGUGAGUUUAUGUCAUCUCUUUUAAUUUUGAAUAAAGGCA